GAUUAAGCCAUGCAUGUGUAAGUAUAAAUAGUUAACUUUGAAACUGCGAAUGGCUCAUUAUAUCAGUUAUAGUUUAUUUGAUGAAGAAUACUAAUUGGAUAACCGUAGUAAUUCUAGAGCUAAUACAUGUAUAAAGUCUUGUAGACUGCAUUUAUUAGAAUGAAAACCAUAGGUUUCGGCCUAUUCGUGAGUAAUAAUAACUAAUCAUAUCGUAUGCUUACGUAACGAUGUGUCUUUCAAGUUCUGCCCUAUCAGCUUUCGAUGGUAGUGUAUUGGACUACCAUG
rnacentral:rRNA from 1 species